AUUGAACGCUGGCGGCAGGCCUAACACAUGCAAGUCGAACGAGUGGCGGACGGGUGAGUAAUGUCUGGGAAACUGCCCGAUGGAGGGGGAUAACUACUGGAAACGGUAGCUAAUACCGCAUACCAUCGGAUGUGCCCAGAUGGGAUGAGCUAGUAGGUGGGGUAACGGCUCACCUCGGCGACGAUCCGGAGCUGGUCUGAGAGGAUGACCAGCCAGAUGGGAACUGAGACACGGUCCAGACUCAGACGGGAGGCAGCAUUGGGGAAUAUUGCACAAUGGGCGCAAGCCUGAUGCAGCCAUGCCGCGUGUAUGAAGAAGGCCUUCGGGUUGUAAAGUACUUUCAGCGAGGAGGCGUUACUCGCAGAAGAAGCACCGGCUAAGUCCGUGCCAGCAGCCGCGGUAAUAC
rnacentral:rRNA from 1 species